CCCUUUGAUACUCUGGGCGACACGCGCGCUACACUGGUUUAUAUAACGUGUAAUUUGGACGAUAGUCUGUAUAAAUCACUAAUAUAAAACCGUGAAUGGGAUAGUUUAUUGCAACUUACAAACUUUAACUAGGAAUCCCUUGUAGAAGUAGUGAAUUAUACUGCUUCGAAUACGUCCCUGCCGAUUGUACACACCGCCCGUCGUUUCUUCCGACUGGUACUCAUUGUGAAUUGCGAGGAGAUUCUGUCAAAUCGUUGUAAAUGCUGGGUAUUGGAGGAAGAAAAAGUCGUAACA
rnacentral:rRNA from 1 species